UAGGGAAUCUUCCGCAAUGGGCGAAAGCCUGACGGAGCAACGCCGCGUGAGUGAUGAAGGUCUUCGGAUCGUAAAACUCUGUUAUUAGGGAAGAACAAAUGUGUAAGUAACUAUGCACGUCUUGACGGUACCUAAUCAGAAAGCCACGGCUAACUACGUGCCAGCAGCCGCGGUAAUACGUAGGUGGCAAGCGUUAUCCGGAAUUAUUGGGCGUAAAGCGCGCGUAGGCGGUUUUUUAAGUCUGAUGUGAAAGCCCACGGCUCAACCGUGGAGGGUCAUUGGAAACUGGAAAACUUGAGUGCAGAAGAGGAAAGUCGAAUUCCAUGUGUAGCGGUGAAAUGCGCAGAGGUAUGGAGGAACACCAGUAGCGAAGGCGACUUUCUGGUAUGUAACUGACGCUGAUGUGCGAAAGCGUGGGGAUCAAACAGG
rnacentral:rRNA from 1 species